rnacentral:rRNA from 1 species
CAACCUGCCGCUUACUCGGGGAUAGCCUUUCGAAAGAAAGAUUAAUACCCGAUGGUAUAAAGAGUUCGCAUGUUCUCUUUAUUAAAGAAUUUCGGUAAGCGAUGGGGAUGCGUUCCAUUAGAUAGUUGGCGGGGUAACGGCCCACCAAGUCUACGAUGGAUAGGGGUUCUGAGAGGAAGGUCCCCCACAUUGGAACUGAGACACGGUCCAAACUCCUACGGGAGGCAGCAGUGAGGAAUAUUGGUCAAUGGACGCGAGUCUGAACCAGCCAAGUAGCGUGAAGGAUGACUGCCCUAUGGGUUGUAAACUUCUUUUAUAAGGGAAUAAAGUGAGGGACGUGUCCCUUUUGUAUGUACCUUAUGAAUAAGGAUCGGCUAACUCCGUGCCAGCAGCCGCGGUAAUACGGAGGAUCCAAGCGUUAUCCGGAUUUAUUGGGUUUAAAGGGAGCGUAGGUUGACAUAUAAGUCAGCUGUGAAAGUUUACGGCUCAACCGUGAAAUUGCAGUUGAUACUGUAUGUCUUGAGUGUACAAGAGGUGGGCGGAAUUCGUGGUGUAGCGGUGAAAUGCUUAGAUAUCACGAAGAACUCCGAUU